GGCCGUGUGGCGAAAUGGCAUCGCGUCUGACUACGAUUAACAUUCGAGGCGUAUCAGGAGAUUGCAGGUUCGAGACCUGUCUCGGUCA